GAGGCAAAAUCAUUGUAUCCUCAUCAGCUCCACAGUCUGCAAGAGGUCCAGGUGUGAUCUCUGACCCAGAGCUGCCAAGGCUGGAAUAAUCUUGGUGUUUGAAAAUAGAAGCAGCUUUAUA